GUUUCAGCUCCCAACACCACCAAAAUAUUGGCCCAAAGCUGUUAUAAGGAUUGCUAGUGUGCCGUAUACCAAGUGUGCUUGCCACUUGUAAUAUACUUAUUACCAGUACAACUAUUGCUUUCAUCCCAAUAUCUUCUCAGUGUCCUCAAAGCAUCUUCUACCUAUUUGUAGUUCUUCCUAUAAUGCAGAGUCCCAGGGCCACCUCAGGCAGCAGAUAUUGGGGGAUAAGGAAUGGUCCUGAGGCGUUGAAGGGCCAAGCUGUGUGUGUUACUAAGUUAACCUGCUGUCCUGUGGUGGAGGGUGCUAUUCUAUCACCGGUGUUCGAUAAAAUUAAAUAAACUUGUGAGGUGCCAUAUUGUCCUUCACUUCAGGCAACAAAAUGUCUUGGUAUGGUCCUGUAGAUACUUGAAGUGAGAGGAAGAAAUUAUCAGCUAGGUAACCCACUGUGUGUAAUUAACAUGCUUUUAUGCUGUACAGUUGUAUGUUAUGACAUAAGCAGCUGGAAAUUGUCAGCUAAUUAACAGUAACUUUCUCAAUUUGAAAACAUUACAGGUGCUAUGUUUGUGUGUCAAAUCCUGACAUUUGGGGAUGUUUCUGAAAGAGUUGGAUGAGAGAAUUCAUAUGGCCAUGACCAUCAUUUACAAAACCACACUUCUCAUAAAAUGAUUAUGGUUCUCUAGCAAUAGCUUGGUUGUAUGAAAACAUCUUCACACAGUUUUCUUAUGAACGGCAAUGUCACCUGCCAAUGAAAACAAACUUAUCCUUUGUAUACUCAACUGCCUCUGAAAUGAAGCGGGAGAACUCUUGAGAAAUGUCAACUUCCUGUUUAGAGAAUUCCUAUAAACUAAAAAUUAUAAAGUGACGGUGAGUACAACAAACAGCGUUGCACACGUCAGCUCUCUACUUGGUAUUUGUAAGGUAGAAAAAGCCUACUCUGCACUUCAAAGGAAGCUAUCAAGUACAAAGUAGCCCUCAGCCUUUUCAAUUUUGGGAAUACCAAUUUUAGAUAGACUGUGCUAAAAGCAGAAAUGUUACAACAACCAUUUCUUAUUGUUUUUAAUUGUACCUGGUUUCCCCCUAAGCGUUCAUUUUCCUUUCCCCAAAUAAUGUUCCAUCGUGCUUCCUAACUAUAAAUCCUGCUUGAAUACAUUUUGAGAGCAGCAUCUAUCUUUUGUCUUGCUGAAUAGAAUUUAGAAGUGUUUCAUACUGGGGCUCAAUGAUUUCAUAGCAGACACAACAAUUGUAUUUUCAAAUGGGUCUGCCUAUUUUUAGGGCCCUUGUUGAGGAAAAGAUUGUGUGAUGCCUAGACAGCCUCCUUAUCUAGCAUUGGUACAAAAUGGAGAUCGAUUGCAUAUGUUGUUGCUUUUCGUUGGAGCAUGAGUGAGUGCUUUCUUCAAAUAAUCUGAAGGUAUAAUGAAAGUUUUAAAUCUUUCGGCCCCCUCUGAAUCUGGGGACUAAUCAAUAUUGCAUGGAAUCUUUCUUGAAUGUAGGAACUGUGAGUCAGCAGCCCUUUAAUUUUUUUAGUUGGUGCUAUUGUUCCAACAGCAAGCUUUACUGCUAUUGUCCAGUGUUUGUCCAGCUCACGUUUACUGGACUGUGGGAACGGAUUAGGGUUUCAUGGCUCCCCCCUUCUUGCAUAAACUCUUGAUCAAAGACAUUCCUUGGAUGACAAAACACUGUAUACUGUGUCACACAGUCCUGACCAGACUGCACGAACAGUAGUUUAAAAACACAUGCCUACAUUGUUCUCUAACUGGCUUUUAAAAAUUUUUUUCCAAAAAAUAAAACAAAAACCCAACACAAAUUUUGGUAUAGGCACACUUUUUUUAAGGCCCAAUUUACUAUUUUUAUAAGCAAAUGCAGCCACAUAUACAAUUUGGUCAUGGUGAACAGCUACCAGAGAGGUAGCCCACUCCCUGAAAGUAAUGCAAGACUGCAUCUUUCUAUGGUCGUUGCAGUCGAGAUUUGACAAUAAUAGAGUAAUGUGCUACCCUAAUCCCUGAGCAGUGCCAAAAUUGCAGGGGUUCCAGGCACUUACCAAGGGUUCAUGUUUCCAUUUGGCACAACAGAGACUGUGGUGUCUUUAUGAUAUAAGGUUUAUUUACACAUAUAUACCACCUGAGCGUAAGAUGGAGCGUACAACAUCAACACCACAAAAAGGGUCUUCUUUCUCCCAUAGCCUUGAAUUCAAACAGAAAUCAAAUGUUGCUCUGCUUCUGUCUCCAGUCUGCUUUUUUUUCUUCUAUCCACCAUCACUGUAACUCAACUAUGGCUUUUCCUGCUAACUAACCAUGAACUGGUGGAGGGGCACCUCCCAUUUGCCAUCUCACACAGAGCCCCUUUCUUGGGUUCCCUUAAUGGCCCAUCACCCAGGCGAUCACCUCAUCAGGGAGCUAACCUGACUUCUAUUUUAACACUUGCUGGAUCCAGGGCUCAGGAAGGUCUCUGCAUACAGCCUACUCCUCUUGCCCCCAACUCAUAAACUAGAACAUAGCAACAAUGGCAUAACUGGUUUGUUGACAUUGCCUCUCCAGCGUAUCUUUUGCCCGCAAGAGCUAUGCCAUGUGAUGCAAUCUGUAAAAUGUAAACACGGACCACACUUAUUUUUUAAAAAAGGUUUCUGUGAGUUUAUAUACUCUGUUUUAAAUAGGAUAUUUUAUAUGGUUGCAUGUUCUAGAAGUGCAUUUUCUCCUUCAUAAAAGCAAGAUGCUGUUAUAUAAAAACUGAGCCAAUUCAUUAUGCACUUAUUCCAUUUUAAGGUACAUAAGGACCCUGCAUUUCAGUCUGGUGAUUCCCUAAUGCACCUUGCAACAGAUUGUGACAAAGCAAAUUAACUCCUCUCUUGAUGGCAGGGGCGGCAAAAGAUAUGCUGGAAUGGGACUGGGGAGAGAAUGCCUCUGGUUCUCUGGAGUUUGUUCGUUUGUUGCUACUGCUGUCCAUGCAGGGUCCAUGGUGGCAAGCCUAGGCAGGGGAAACAAGCUUCUCUCACUGCCCAGGAAGGAUACUAGGAAGCACUGGAAUUAACUGGCACCAGUGUGGGAGCAUCUCCUCAGUCAGGCUGGAUGGAAUGAUCUUCCAGGGUUAUCUCUGAGAAUCCAAAGAGAGGCUGCCUCUAGACUUGUGUCGCUAUUUUGUAGCAGGGAUUCGAGCACAUGGGUUUGCACAAAUAAAGUGAAUUAUAGGGCAUGUCCCAGAGCAAUAAAUCUACUUAAAAAAUAAAUGCAUUAAAAAUGCAUUGGAUGCAUCAAAAAGUGUGGGAUGAAUGAAUUAUUGACAGGAAGGUGUGUAAACACCCUGUAAGCAAAUCAGGAUGAAUGCUCAUUGCUAUAGCGUAACAACAAAAAUUAAGGGGAGAGUUGUGAACUUUUUAAUAUGCUUUUACACAUGCAAGACCUAAGAGACACGUAAAAAGAUUAAGUGCAUUCUUCUUCUGGACUUUGAAGACACUCAAACUCAGGAUGCAAGGGAGAAACGUGCUAAGAGGAAGGCACGCUUGGCAAAUCCACACCGUGAUCAACUCCCGCCCAGAAACCAAUGUCCCCACUGUGGAAGGACGUGUGGAUCCAGAAUUGGCCUCCACAGUCACUUACGGACACAUUGUUAAAACCGUGUUUAUGGAAGACAAUCUUACUCGGCUAUGAGUGAUUGCUGAAGAUCUAUCCAAAUCAUCCAUAUUCCGAAAGUUACAGUUGAAUCCAUAUCACCAGGCAUAUACAAACGAAAAAUAAAAUCAAGUACAUAACAAAAACUAUAUUCAAUCUAUAAAAACUCAAGUCCAACAGAGAGCUUUCUUAACCCAAUCAUCUUAAUCUCUUGAUCUAUUAAAAGGUUUAACACUUCAUUUCAAACAUUCAUUAACCUUUCUUAUAAUAAACCCAAUAUGUUAACAUCUGAUUUGCAUUAAUUCAGCUACCCAAAUAUAUUAAUAUAUUGUAUGCCCAGAAGACUUAUGUGGUCCCAAACGGUGUCUUUUUGUAUUGUAAGUAAAUUUCUACCAAUUUGGCAAAAGCUUAUUUUGUCUAUUUUCUGCUACUAUAUAGGAAAUUCUUUGUCUUCUGAUCCCACUGUUUGACAUACUUUUUUUUAUAAUUGGGCAUAAUAGGAUUUCAUAGGUAACAUAUUUGUGAUUUAUUAUCUUCCGAUAUUUAUUCACCAUCUUGCACUUCUACCACAUGUGAACAACUCCCCCAUCUCUUCUUGACAUUUUCAACAUAAGGGAGAGUGGCUCUUACUAAUUUUAUGUACCUUGGCUGGAGUACUAUACCAUCUUGUCAUUACUAUAGUUUCCUCCUUAUGCCCAUGUUCAAAGAAAAUUUGUGAGCCGCUUCCCGUACGUUUCUACCAAGAUCUAGGUGAAUACUCUCUCCUAUCAUUUGCGCCCACUUAAUCAUGCACUUUUCAAUUUGUUCUGGUUCUGUCUGAUAUUUGAAUAAAAGUUGAUAUAUUUUUGCUGGCCUGUGUGUAUCAGCAACAUGACUACAGGAGUCCAGUUGAGCUAGCAGGACUUGUUGCAUUGGCUUCUGCUAGUGUUAGUUUCUGUAUGUGCAAUUUCUAAUGCCUUAUCAUUCAGAUACUGAAAAGGAGGAAAGUCCAAAUUGUUUUUAAUUUUUUAAGUCCAGCUGCAAGUAGUACAUGCUCCACUUUCUCACACUGAAAUAACGAAGACUUUUAAAAGUGCUUACCUUUGAAUGGAUCCCCCCUUAAGCCUACGCAUGUUGCAUGGCCUUGGAGGAUUAAAUUUGGAACCAAUUUUUUGAGUUUGGACAAAGGAAAUCCAAGUUCAAAUCCUUGAUCAACCAUUAUGUUCACCUUGCAAAGUUGUCUUGAGGGUAAACGCAGGACCAGCACCAGGGGUUGGCAUUGUUUGGCAUCUUCCAAGAUGGCACCAGGGCUGGGUCCUCACUGCCAUACCUCCUGGAGUCCCCUGGCUUGUGCUGCUGUCAAGAUAGAUCAGUACCUUCCAAUGGGCAAUUGUGUGGACUCCGCAAAGGAAAUGACUGGGCAGUGGUAACUGUGGGGAGGAGGGCCCAUUCAGAGGGAGCUCCAUUGAGAGACUCUUGCCCACCAGCAUAGGGUGAUCAUAGUAUCAGGACAUGUUGUAACUCACAGAAUCAGGCACGCAAGAGAACCACAAGGACCUAGACAUCAGAAGACUGUAUUGUAAAGGUAUGAGAUGUGGUCCACAUGUUAAAACUAAUAUAAUUAGUCAGAGCAGGUAGAGAAUCUAGUGUUAACACUUAAUAGAAAAGUGAAAGCUUUUUAGGUCAUGUUUAACAAACUGCAAGAAAAAGCUGGCCCAUAUAUUUCAUUAGGAACUUUGCAAAACGCUGUCAAGGACUGAGACAACCUUGUAAAUGCACCAUGUUUAUGAAAUAAAGGCUUCUU